UCUACAAACUCCUCUGUGUAGUUCACAAGCGCCUCCCGCACAACUUCGUACCCGGUCAGGACCACAACUUUCUGGAAGCCAAAAUGGAGGGUGAAGACCGGGCCGUAUUCUUCCGCAAGCUGAAAGAGAGGGCACAGCACAGACCAGGUGAGGCAUGGGGUUCAGGGUGAAGCCGACGUCAGCAGUGAGAUCCAGCUCUGCUUUGUUCACCCCUGGAGGGGGCUGGAAAACAAAUUUGCGGAGCAAGCCUGCGAAGAAGAGGAACAGCUCCAUUUUGGCCAGGCCUUCUCCAACACAAGCCCUUCGUCCUGAAAACAAGCAGGAGAGAAGUAAAUGUUAAGCAGUGGAACUGUUGGUGAUGGCAUCUGAGACCUUCUAAACUGGACACGCAGUCUGUGCAGCUGAGAUUCAGACAGAUCUUUGGAGAAGUCUACUGAAGUAUAGAUUUCACUUUGGGCAUAAUAGAAUCAAACCAAUGUGACUUCAUUAAAGUCUGGUUAUUCUGGAUUCAAGUGGCUGCAACAUUCUACAAUCACCACAUGUUUUUAACAAUUGUUCUGCAUCCAAGUCAAAGAAUUACACGGUGGAUUAAACCGAGCAUCAAGGCGUCUCUAGAUAUGUAGAUAUUUCUUAUCAGCUUUAGAUAACACGGUAAUGAAUUGGUGCAGUGUAAGCUGCUGGUCCCAGAGCUCACCUUAGGAAUCACAUAACC